rnacentral:rRNA from 1 species
AGUGAACGCUGGCGGUAGGCCUAACACAUGCAAGUCGAACGGCAGCACAGUAAGAGCUUGCUCUUACGGGUGGCGAGUGGCGGACGGGUGAGGAAUACAUCGGAAUCUACUUUUUCGUGGGGGAUAACGUAGGGAAACUUACGCUAAUACCGCAUACGACCUACGGGUGAAAGCAGGGGAUCUUCGGACCUUGCGCGGUUGAAUGAGCCGAUGUCGGAUUAGCUAGUUGGCGGGGUAAAGGCCCACCAAGGCGACGAUCCGUAGCUGGUCUGAGAGGAUGAUCAGCCACACUGGAACUGAGACACGGUCCAGACUCCUACGGGAGGCAGCAGUGGGGAAUAUUGGACAAUGGGCGCAAGCCUGAUCCAGCCAUACCGCGUGGGUGAAGAAGGCCUUCGGGUUGUAAAGCCCUUUUGUUGGGAAAGAAAAGCAGCAGGUUAAUACCCCGCUGUUCUGACGGUACCCAAAGAAUAAGCACCGGCUAACUUCGU